ACUUUAACCCACUUAAGGGAACCUGUCCUUUAAUUCGAUAAUCCACGACAAUCUUAUUUAUUUUAGAACAAUUCAGCUUGUAUGCCGUCGUCAUAAGUUAACCUUAAAAAGAAAAAAAGUUAACAACAAAGAAGAUAAACUUUAUUUUACUUCUAACAAGUCAGAUCAAGGUGCAGCCAAUAAGUAAAGAAGAGAUGGGUUACAAUUAACAAUUUUUAAUGGAAUUUUAAAAGAAAAGUUAAAAAAAAAUAGGACUUAAAAGUAAUUUGUAAAAACAAAUACCAAUGAAUAAGGAAACAAAGUGUGC
rnacentral:rRNA from 1 species